rnacentral:rRNA from 1 species
GACGAACGCUGGCGGCGUGCUUAACACAUGCAAGUCGAACGGAAAGGCCCUGCUUGCAGGGUACUCGAGUGGCGAACGGGUGAGUAACACGUGGGUGAUCUGCCCUGCACUUCGGGAUAAGCCUGGGAAACUGGGUCUAAUACCGGAUAGGAGCCAUUUUUAGCGUGAUGGUUGGAAAGUUUUUUCGGUGUAGGAUGAGCUCGCGGCCUAUCAGCUUGUUGGUGGGGUAAUGGCCUACCAAGGCGGCGACGGGUAGCCGGCCUGAGAGGGUGGACGGCCACAUUGGGACUGAGAUACGGCCCAGACUCCUACGGGAGGCAGCAGUGGGGAAUAUUGCACAAUGGGCGCAAGCCUGAUGCAGCGACGCCGCGUGGGGGAUGACGGCCUUCGGGUUGUAAACCCCUUUCGCUAGGGACGAAGCUUUUUGUGACGGUACCUAGAUAAGAAGCACCGGCUAACUACGUG